AACGAACGCUGGCGGCAUGCCUAACACAUGCAAGUCGAACGAGACCUUCGGGUCUAGUGGCGCACGGGUGCGUAACGCGUGGGAACCUGCCCUUAGGUUCGGAAUAACUCCCCGAAAGGGGUGCUAAUACCGGAUAAUUUCUUCGGACCAAAGAUUUAUCGCCUUUGGAUGGGCCCGCGUUGGAUUAGCUAGUUGGUAGGGUAAAAGCCUACCAAGGCGACGAUCCAUAGCUGGUCUGAGAGGAUGGUCAGCCACACUGGGACUGAGACACGGCCCAGACUCCUACGGGAGGCAGCAGUGGGGAAUAUUGGAAAAUGGGCGAAAGCCUGAUCCAGCAAGGCCGCGUGAGUGAUGAAGGCCUUAGGGUUGUAAAGCUCUUUUACCCGGGAUGAUAAUGACAGUACCGGGAGAAUAAGCUCCGGCUAACUCCGUG
rnacentral:rRNA from 1 species